rnacentral:rRNA from 1 species
UGGGGGAUAUUGCACAAUGGGCGAAAGCCUGAUGCAGCGACGCCGCGUGGGGGAUGAAGGCCUUCGGGUUGUAUACUUCUUUUGCUCUGAACAAGGCAUGCUAAUGGGUGUGUUGAGUGUAGGGGUUGAUUAGCGCCGGCUAACUACGUGCCAGCAGCCGCGGUAAUACGUAGGGCGCGAGCGUUGUCCGGAAUUAUUGGGCGUAAAGGGCUUGUAGGUGGCUGGUUGCGUCGGUCGUGAAAGCUCAUGGCUUAACUGUGGGUUUGCGGUGGGUACGGGCUGGCUUGAGUGCAGUAGGGGAGGCUGGAAUUCCUGGUGUAGCGGUGGAAUGCGCAGAUAUCAGGAGGAAUACCGGUGGCGAAGGCGGGUCUCUGGGCUGUUACUGACACUGAGGAGCGAAAGCAUGGGGAGCGAACAGG